rnacentral:pre_miRNA from 1 species
AGUGGAAUUGUUGGAUCAUAUGGUAGUUCUAUUUUUAGCUUUUUGAGGAGAUUCUACACAAUUUUCUAAAAUAGCUUUACUUAUUUACAGUCCCACCAAUAAU